UGGCGAACUUGGUGGCGUCGACGCCCAGUUGUUCCAGACGGUCGACGAGGCCGCCGCCGCGGGCCGCGCGGUUCAGGGCGCGCAGUUCGCCGGCC
rnacentral:tRNA from 1 species